GCUGGCGGCAGGCCUAAUACAUGCAAGUCGAGCGCACUUUCGGGUGAGCGGCGGACGGGUUAGUAACGCGUGGGAACGUGCCCUUCUCUAAGGAAUAGCCUCUGGAAACGGAGAGUAAUACCUUAUACGCCCUUCGGGGGAAAGAUUUAUCGGAGAAGGAUCGGCCCGCGUUAGAUUAGAUAGUUGGUGGGGUAAUGGCCUACCAAGUCUACGAUCUAUAGCUGGUUUUAGAGGAUGAUCAGCAACACUGGGACUGAGACACGGCCCAGACUCCUACGGGAGGCAGCAGUAGGGAAUCUUGGACAAUGGGCGCAAGCCUGAUCCAGCCAUGCCGCGUGAGUGAAGAAGGCCCUAGGGUCGUAAAGCUCUUUCGCCUGUGAUGAUAAUGACAGUAGCAGGUAAAGAAACCCCGGCUAACUCCGUGCCAGCAGCCGCGGUAAUACGGAGGGGGUUAGCGUUGUUCGGAAUUACUGGGCGUAAAGCGCGCGUAGGCGGACUGGAAAGUUGGGGGUGAAAUCCCGAGGCUCAACCUCGGAACUGCCUUCAAAACUCCCAGUCUAGAGUUCGAGAGAGGUGAGUGGAAUUCCAAGUGUAGAGGUGAAAUUCGUAGAUAUUUGGAGGAACACCAGUGGCGAAGGCGGCUCACUGGCUCGAUACUGACGCUGAGGUGCGAAAGUGUGGGGAGCAAACAGGAUUAGAUACCCUGGUAGUCCACACCGUAAACGAUGAAUGCCAGUCGUCGGGUAGUAUACUAUUCGGUGACACACCUAACGGAUUAAGCAUUCCGCCUGGGGAGUACGGU
rnacentral:rRNA from 1 species